AUGCGCGCCGAUGAGAAGCCCCAUGCCGUGUGCGUGCCGUACCCGGCGCAGGGGCACGCCACCCCGAUGAUGAAGCUGGCCAAGGUCCUCCACUCCAGGGGCUUCCACGUCACCUUCGUCUACACCGAGCACAACCACCGGCGCCUCGUCCGCUCCCGCGGCCCAGGUGCUGUCGCUGGCCUCCCGGACUUCCGCUUCGCCACCAUCCCCGACGGCCUGCCGCCGUCCGACCCCGAUGCCACCCAGGACCAGGCGUCCAUCUGCCACUCCACCACGACCACCUGCCUCCCCCACCUGAAGAGCCUGCUCGGCGACCUCGACAACAACCGUGCAACUGGGACGCCGCCGGUGACGUGCGUCGUCGCGGACAGCAUCAUGAGCUUCGCGGUGGACGCCGCGGCGGAGCUCGGCGUGCCGUGCGCGCUCUUCUGGACCGCCAGCGCCUGCGGUUACAUGGGCUACUACAACUUCCGGUUCCUCCUAGACCAUGGCCUUACUCCUCUCAAAGGUGAAGAGCAACUGACGAAUGGCUACUUGGGCACGCCGGUGACAAAUGCUCUCGGGAUGACCAGGCAGAUGCGUCUCCGGGACUUCCCGUCCUUCAUCCGCACGACGGACCGGGACGACAUCCUGCUCAACUUCAUGAUACACGAGCUAGAGCGGGCGAGCCGUGCAGCCGCCGUCAUCGUCAACACCUUUGACGAGCUGGAGCAGCCGGCGGUGGACGCCAUGCGCGCCAUCCUCACCCCGCCAGUCUACACCAUCGGCCCUCUCAACUUUGUUGUAGAGCAGCUGGUCCCCGACGGCGAUGGCAGCGCCCCGCUCGCCGCGAUUCGCCCCAGCCUUUGGAGGGAAGACCGGUCCUGCCUAGAGUGGCUUCGUGGCAGGGAGCCCCGUUCUGUGGUGUACGUCAACUUCGGGAGCAUCACUACCAUGACCGGCCAAGAGCUGGUGGAGUUCGCUUGGGGGUUGGCCAACUGCGGCUACGACUUCCUAUGGAUCGUGAGGAACGACCUGGUGAAGGGCGACGCCGCCGUGCUGCCACCGGAGUUCCUGGAGGAGACCAAGGGCCGGUGUUUCUUGACGAGCUGGUGCGAGCAGGAGGCGGUGCUGCAGAACGAGGCUGUGGGGGCCUUCCUGACGCACUACGGGUGGAACUCGAUGAUGGAGGGGCUCAGCUCCGGGCUGCCGAUGCUGGGCUGGCCCUUCUUCGCGGAGCAGCAGACCAACUGCCGCUACGCGUGCGUGGAGUGGGGCGUCGGGAUGGAGGUCGGCGACGACGUGCGCCGGGAGGUGGUCGAGGAGAGGAUAAGGGAGGUGAUGGGUGGUGGCGAGGUGGGGAAGGAGAUGAGGCGGAAGGCGGUUGAGUGGAAGAACAUCGCCGUCCGUGCCACGGUGCUACCUGAUGGCAGGUCGUUGGCCAACCUUGAGAGCCUGCUCAAGGAUGUAUUGUGCUGA
rnacentral:rRNA from 1 species